rnacentral:rRNA from 1 species
CCUACGGGGUGCAGCAGUGGGGAAUAUUGCACAAUGGGGGAAACCCUGAUGCAGCGACGCCGCGUGAGUGAAGAAGUAUUUCGGUAUGUACAGCUCUAUCAGCAGGGAAGAAAAUGACGGUACCUGAUUAUGAAGCCCCGGCUAACUACGUGCCAGCAGCCGCGGUAAUACGUAGGGGGCAAGCGUUAUCCGGAUUUACUGGGUGGAAAGGGAGCGUAGACGGCAGCACAAGUCUGGAGUGAAAUGCCGGGGCUUAACCCCGGAACUGCUUUGGAAACUGUGCAGCUAGAGUGCAGGAGAGGUAAGUGGAAUACCUAGUGUAGAGGUGAAAUGUGGAGAUAUUAGGAGGAAAACCAGUGGCGAAGGCAGCUUACUGGACUGUAACUGACGUUGAGGCUCGAAAGCGUGGGGAGCAAACAGGAUUAGAUACCCCUGUAGUC